rnacentral:tRNA from 1 species
CCCGGCGGUCGCCGGGCUGCUGCGGGCCCUGGUGCUGCGGCUGCUGGCCACCGCCGCGCCCGGCGGCGUCCGGGUCGCCGCACUGGAC